rnacentral:rRNA from 1 species
GACGAACGCUGGCGGCGUGCUUAACACAUGCAAGUCGAACGGAAAGGCCUCUUUCGGGGGGUACUCGAGUGGCGAACGGAUGAGUAACACGUGAGUAACCUGCCCUUGACUUUGGGAUAACUUCAGGAAACUGGGGCUAAUACCGGAUAGGAGCUCCUGCUGCAUGGUGGGGGUUGGAAAGUUUCGGCGGUUGGGGAUGGACUCGCGGCUUAUCAGCUUGUUGGUGGGGUAGUGGCUUACCAAGGCUUUGACGGGUAGCCGGCCUGAGAGGGUGACCGGCCACAUUGGGACUGAGAUACGGCCCAGACUCCUACGGGAGGCAGCAGUGGGGAAUAUUGCACAAUGGGUGGAAGCCUGAUGCAGCAACGCCGUGUGCGGGAUGACGGCCUUCGGGUUGUAAACCGCUUUCGCUCAUGACGAAGCUUUGUGUGACGGUAGUGGGUAAAGAAGCACCGGCUAACUACGUG